GGUUUGGGAGGUAAUUGGGACCUCCGCCUCCCUCCCUUCCCUCGCUGCCUCCCGGAAUUUGACCAAUCCCGUGAGGAGGAGCCGUGGGCGGGGCGGGCUCGGCUCCCGGAGCGGCGUGAAAAAUUUCCCCAGGCAGAGCGAAAAGUCUUCCUGAGCUAUUGAGCAUGUCCGGUUCCCGAAGGGGCGCUUUGGACGCGAGUGAAGCGAGGAGAGACGGAGAAGGAAACGAGCGGGCAGUUGAGGGAAAUCUCAGAGGAGGUUACCUGCGAUCAAACUGGGUCUGCGUAGUGUUAGGGUCAGGCAGCGUUGAAGUGGAAUCUGGAUCCGCCAUUCUCGCUGCGUGAUAUUGGGCAUGCCAUCAAAGCGCUCUCAACCGAACGUCUCGGGUAAAAUGGGAUUAGUGAAGUCUACCAAGGUGGUUGUGAGGAUCAAAAGAGAUAACACGGAAAACGCCUCACCUGGCACGUUAUAGAUCCUAAAUGCCUAGCUAUUAUUAUGGAGCCCACAACCUCCAUAUUUUACAACUGGGAACACGGGACUCAAAGAGAUUAAAAAACUAAAUGACUCGCUCAAGGUCAGGUAGUGGUGGAGACCCAGGCUUCAAGUUAAAUACUCUUUGUCCUACAAAGCCUUCGCUUAAGCAGGGGUAAUAAAACAUUUCCACCUUAAAGAGCAUCGCUUGUGAUCUGUGGAUCACUUGAUUGUCCCCACUUCCCUCCCAUCCCCGCAAAGGUUUAGAGCUGGACAUAAGGGCCUCGGUGCAACUUUUGAAGGGCAGUUGUUCAGCUUCUGAAUUUGCAUCUGAACGAGCAAUAAGGUGGGGUGCUUUCCUCAAUUCCCUUGGGGCCCCUACAUUUCUUCUAAAGUUUUGGUUAAAGUGUAAACAGUAAGGAGCUCCAGGUCCUCCACGUCUCUAACUAGCUGAAGAAAGAUUAAGUCAAUUAACCAGCAUUUACCCAGCAUCCACCAAGUAGUAAGGUUUUGCCAGCCGGCAAGGAGCCUGUGACCUCAGGGCUGUGCAGGCAGGCACCUUGGGAUUCAGACACACUUAGGCUUCCAGCCCAUUCCUCUAAUUUAGCUCUUAAUCACUUAAUGCCAGGCAGUAUUUCUUGAAUGUUGUAGUACUAUGUAAUUUUAGCUAUGCUGUUAACUUUUUUAAAAAGUAUGUGUCUGUCUCCCUGUCUUGUAGCCCCAAACCUAUACUUGAUCUUGGUAAAGGAUGUCACCCAGUAUCUUAAAUAAGCCCUGAAGUUUCCCAUGUCCCAGGAAUUAUUCACUUGACCCUCCCAAGUUAAAUGCAAUCUCUUCCAAAAAAUCUUGGUAGUCUGCAUCGUUGGAAUACAUUAGUAUCUUUUCUACAGCAUUUGGCAGCUACCUUGCUUUAGACACUGUUUCUAGUCUUGUGUUCUACUAUUUAUGCAUAUUAUCACCUACAAAAAGUUUCUCUAACAUUCAUGUGUGAGUUGGCUGUUCAUAUGGAUCAAUAUAUCACUUAUUACCCAUUCCUUUAAGGCUUGAUUUAUUUUCCUUUCCCUUCAGAUUGUAAAACUCUUGAAUAGCAGGAACCAUAUCUAGUUCCACAUCGAAUUUUCAGCCUGUUCCUCAGUAACAACACCACUCAACAACUAGCUAUAGAAUGGCUGAGUGAGCUCCCUGCCUAUCUUAUAAAAUUAUUAGGGGCAUACUUUAUAUCUCAAAACCAGGAAUUUUCUGGGAAGUUAAGAAUUUCCAAUAAAUCUUGGACUACUCUAAAAUGCACCAGAAAUUACGUGGUCACACUCGUGCAAUGAAAGAAGGCUUUGGCAGUAGCACAAGACAUCAAGCAGAAGUAGGAAAUGCAGUGAGGAAGAAGUCGUAAUGUUUUCAACAGCUGCCACUACGGAUCUAGGAUGAGAGCUUUCCACAUGUUGUUAAGAAUGAGAGACAGAUUACUCCAAGGGCCUGCCUGGUGGCCCUCCCUGUGAGAAGGUAUUCUUCCUGCUCCAUUGACAUCAGGCUUAUUAGCCAUGUUUCUGGAUUUGGUCCACUUUAUCAUAAAGAGAACAUGGAGCAGGGCUGCAGCUGAUCUUCAAAGGGCAUGAACACAAGCCAGAGAGAAGCCAUUAUUGUUGUAAGCCCUGAAGAUUUGGGGGAUAUUAUUGCAACACAACUCAGCCCAAACUGACUAAUACAACAAGUUUCUAUGUAUACAUGGAAAUGUAUGUGAUCUUAGCCUCAAAAAAAAAAAAAAAAAAAAAGAGUAUCUGAAAAUCCCAGGAUACUUGGGGCUCAUGGUGCAUGGUCAAUGAAAUGAAUAGCUCUCUUUCUUCAUCCUUCCCUCUCCAAUCUUUCCUUUUCAUUCUCCUUCAUCUCAUUCUCCUUCUUCUCUCUGUGAUUGACAAAGCUGGUCAUGGAAAAAAACAUAGGAGUCUGAAGGCUUCGAUUCUAGGUUCAUAUGUAUGAGAUUUUUUGGAAAAAACUCACAUACUCUCAAGGAGUCUCAGUUCCCUCAUCUUCAAGUGGGGAUAAUAACACCCUCUUUACCUAUUCUGCUGGGUUCUUUUGUAGAUCACAUGAAAGAGAGGUUAUGGAAAUCCUUUAUAUAUGUUUUGAAAAUUCUAUCCAGUUGCUACAGGCUGAAUGUUUGGUUCUUCAAAAUUUAUAUGUUGAAACCUAAUCACUGAUGUGAUGGUGUUUGGAGGUAAGGCUGUUAGAAGGUGAUUGGCACAAACCCCUCAUAAGAGAAGCCCCAAAGAGAGCUAGCUUGCCUGUUUCAUCAUGUGAGGACAUGGUGAGAAGAAGCCAUGUAAGAAUCAGGAAACAGGUCCUCACCAGACAUGGAAUCUGUCAGCACCUUGAUCUCGGACUUACCAGCCUCCAAACUAGUGACAAAUAAACUACUGUUCACUAGCUGCCCAAUUAAUGGUACUUUAUUAUGAUAGACUGAACUAAGACACCAGUUAUAUGAUGAAAAUACCCUACUACUAUUACUACUGCUAGUACUUCCUAUAUUCACUCAUAUUUUUGGAGGUCUUAUUAUGUUCCAAGUAUGGUUCUAAGUGCUUUUCAUCAGUAACUCUUGUAAGAGCCUAUUUUAAAUUUAGCAAAGGCAAUAAAACACUUUCCCUGGUUUAGUGAGGAGUAUUAACUAAUUGGGGGUAUAAACAUAAAAUGGUUUCGUUUUUCCAGUAGUUGCUACUACUCUUGUUCUCCAUAGCAACUUUGGUUUCAAUUCCAUAACUUUCCUGUUGUUUCUGGUCAAAGGAACAGUUGCCUCUAGUUCCUCUAUUUUAAUAUUUUGACCCUCUCCAUUCCUGUCAGGACAGGUGGAACUUGUGGCAUAGGAAGUUCAAGUGGCAGAGGGGGCCCAGUCUGUACUUGUCUCUACUCCUCCAGAGGAGGAAAGAAAGCAAGACAGAUGCUCCCUCACGUGGAUGUCCAUGGUAUAGUUGCUGUCCUCACCUUAGGUGGCCAUGACUGCUGUUCCUGUCCACUGAGCUUCAUGAGGGUUGGAGUGCCUCCCUCACCAGGAGCAGACUCUGGGGUCCCCCAGCAGGAGGCACCAUGUGUAUUCCUCUGUGGGCCUUGUACGGUCCUCCUUCCCCUUCUGCUGUAUGGGUCCCUAGGGAUGCCAUUGCUCCAAAAAUACUUGCUUUCCCAAGCUCUUCAACUCCAGGGCUCAAAAUCCCCUGGGGAUCCCCUUCCUGUAGGUCUUGAGAAUUGCAACUUGGGGGCAGUCCUGACCUGGUCAUCGUCCUCCUCACCACCUCACUGUGCCAUCUCCUCACCUCAUUCUCCAACCCCCAAAAGAUGACCACUGAUGACCAGUCUCCAGGUCAGUGGAGAACGUGUGUGGAGAAGUGCAGGAGGGGUGACAAAGCAUCCCCAAACCUUACAAAUUCUUUCCUUGAUUUUGGAGAAGAAAUCCACUGGGUAGUGCUCACCACCCCCUCACACAGCUCCAGCUAGCGGUAACGAUUUACUCCCUCCCUACACUCUUCUUAUUUUGUCUUUGAGGGUGGGGGUGCUGGUUUUGCUGAAAUGACUCUGCUCAGCCAGGCUUGUGAGAGUGGGAGGGCAGGAGGCAAAGGCAGGAAGGGAAGCAACCAGGCCUUUCUCUGCCUGUUCUCUGAACUCAGAGUAUGGGGUACUAAAGACCUGGGUUCUCCACUGUGGGCCCAAAGAGGAAACAACAAGAUCCACUUGGUACCUAAUACCCUGUCACACAGAGGUACAACAUCUCCAGCUUGAGGUGGUGUCCUGUGAGUGAUAGCAGCUCCAGGAUGGUGCAUUUACCACUGAGGAAAAGUAGAAUGAGCCCAGCCUUGGGGGAGCAAUCUGGGAACUGCCCUCCUCUUUGCUCCCACAAUAUCCUGCAGGUUCUAUGAUACAGGUAGUUAGAGCUACUCACUAGGCUGCUUGUCUUCCCCUCCACUGCAGGACAUGCCUGUAUUUUGUCCUCAUCUGUUGCUGUAGUUUGGAUGUGUUAUUUUUUUUUUCCUUUGCAUGAGUUUCCAUGCAGAACACAUGUUGGAAUUUAACUGCCAAUGUAAUGGGUGUUGGGAGGUGAGGCCUUCAACCAAACUUUAAUUAGGUCAUUAAGAUGAUUAGUGUCCUUCUCUGGAGAGACUGGAUUAGGUCUCUUGGGAAUGAAUUAGUUCUCGUGACAGCUAGUUGUUACAAAGUGAGGCUGCCUCUCGUGUUUGGUGUCUUUGUACGCUCCUGCUCCCCCUUCCUUCUGCUUUCCACCGGGAGUCAAAGCAGCACCAAGUCCUCACCAGAUGGGCUGCUGAAUCUUGUACUUCCCAGCCUGCAUAACUGGAAGCUCCAUAAACCUCUUUUUAUUCCUUAUAAAUUACCCGGUCUUAGGUAUUCAACAGAAUUGAAUUGCUUAGCUAGCAACACAAAACAGAUGAAGACAUCUGUAUUCCCAGGACCUGGGACAGCACCUGGUAUAUGCAACCUACUCAGCAAAUGUUCUCUAGAAUCUUUAGAGAUUUGGGAAUAUGAAGAAAAAAAAAAACUAGAAAAAUGGGGUGGCAGAUAUAUUCCAGAUAAAAAAUAUUUCAGGUGAAUUCUACAAACCAGGGUGGGUUUCAGACAACUGUGAAUCAUGAGUGUACUUGUUGGGGGAAAAGUUCACAUAGCUAAGAUGGCUACUUCUUGCGGUACCCAUCGACGGACUGGGGCAAGGGCAAUGAGAGGCAUAAGCUGACUACAGAUAGUUAACCCUGACAUUUUCAACUUUAAAACAGUUUCAUUUCCUGUUUGAAAACUUUGAGGGUCUUUUUCUGAACAACUUUUUUUUUUUAUUAUACUUUAAGUUUUAGGGUACAUGUGCACAACGUGCAGGUUAGUUACAUAUGUAUACAUGUGCCGUGUUGGUGUGCUGCACCCAUUAACUCGUCAUUUAACAUUAGGUAUAUCUCCUAAUGCUAUCCCUUCCCCCUCCCCCCACCCCACAACAGGCCCUGAUGUGUGAUGUUCCCCUUCCUGUGCCCAUGUGUUCUCAUUGCUUAAUUCCCACCUAUGAGUGAGAACAUGAGGUGUUUGGUUUUUGUCCUUGCUGUAGUUUGCUGAGAAUGAUGGUUACAAUAGCAAAGACUUGGAACCAAGCCAAAUGUCCAACAAUGAUAGACUGGAUUAAGAAAAUGUGGCAUAUAUACGCCAUGGAAUACUAUGCAGCCAUAAAAAAUGAUGAGUUCAUGUCCUUUGUAGGGACAUGGAUGAAGCUGGAAACUUUUUUUUAAUAGAAGGGGCAGACAUCAGUUUUUUAAAAAUUUCAAUCUCUAGGUUUGUUUUUAGGAACAUUUCUCAGAGGUUUUUCAUCAUGGAUAUUUGAAAAUGCUGAUGUAAAGAGACACAUCUCAAUUUCAAUGCUGUCACAGCCAUAUUGUCCUUCUUUGGAGAGUCUUCGAACUAGAGUAAGCCAUGGAACCUUGAUAAUAUACAAUGUGGUUGCCUAUGAUGACUCACUGACCUGUCCAGAUUUGUAAUCUGCACAUUUUAAUGUAAAUUGAAUAGUUGAUUUAAAGACAUAAGUUAUUUUAAAAACCAGUAGACUAUAUUACAACAACAACAACAACAACAAUGACACCCUAGGAUUUCAGCAUUUUCAAACUUCAAAGAAUACUGAAAACUGGCUUAGGCUCUUGUUCUGGGAUGCUCAGCUAUGCAGAGGAGAUGCUGAGAUUUCUGGCAGCCACCUUGUCUACUACAUAGUGAGACCUUAUAUGGAGAAUGAAGCCAAGGAAAACCAAGAAAGACAGUCCUGAUUGAUGUCUAGGAGUCCCCAGACCCAAUGUAAAUGGAGCCAAAUUAAGACAAGCAGAGCAGAGAGAUC